UACGUAGGGUGCAAGCGUUGCCCGGAUUUAUUGGGCGUAAAGGGCGCGUAGGCGGCUCGGCACGUCCGUUGUGAAAUCGCCCGGCUCAACUGGGCGGGGUCAGCGGAUACGGCCGAGCUUGAGCAAGCUAGGGGGCAAUGGAAUUCCCGGUGUAGUGGUGGAAUGCGUAGAGAUCAGGAAGAACAUCGGUGGCGAAGGCGCUCUGCUGGACCAUAACUGACACUCAGGGACGAAAGCUAGGGGAGCGAAUGGG
rnacentral:rRNA from 1 species